rnacentral:pre_miRNA from 14 species
UUCUACACUGACAUCUUUGACUACACACGCACACACACAGACACUGAAAGACCCCCGAAGGGAGCCCCCCCACUCAAGUCUCGGGAAAGACGCGCACCCAGUAGGACACAGACACCG